rnacentral:rRNA from 1 species
CCCUUAGAUGUUCUGGGCAGCACGCGCGCUACAAUGGUCUUCGCAAACGGAUGCAUUCUCGAAUGAGAAUGCCAAUCUUGGAAUCUAUGCCUUGGUCGGGACAGUUGCUUGCAAUUUUUCGACUCGAACCAGGAAUUCCUUGUAAUCGUGAUUCAUCACAUCACGAUGAAUACGUCCCUGCCCUUUGUGCACACCGCCCGUCGCUCCUACCGAUCGAAGAGUUAGGUGAAUUGUUUUGAUCGAUAAGAUUUGACUAUGGUCAACUCUCGUUGUGAAAUUCUGUGAAUCUGACUGUUUAGAGGAAGGAAAAGUCGUAACA